rnacentral:rRNA from 1 species
UACGUAGGGUGCGAGCGUUAAUCGGAAUUACUGGGCGUAAAGCGUGCGCAGGCGGUUUUGUAAGCCAGAUGUGAAAUCCCCGGGCUUAACCUGGGAAUGGCAUUUGGGACUGCAAGGCUCGAGUGCGGCAGAGGAGACUGGAAUUCCUGGUGUAGCAGUGAAAUGCGUAGAUAUCAGGAGGAACACCGAUGGCGAAGGCAGGUCUCUGGGCUGACACGGACGCUCAUGCACGAAAGCGUGGGGAGCAAACAGG